rnacentral:rRNA from 1 species
CGGCGUCGAAGGACGAACGCUGGCGGACGUGCCUAACACAGUGCAAGUCGAACGGAGAGCAUAUGAAGUAUUCGGUACGGAAUGCGUUCUAGUGGCGAACGGGUGAGUAACACGUGGGCAACCUGCCCAGACUGGGGGAUAACAUUGUGAAAACAGUGCUAAUACCGCAUGACAGGGUUCCGGGCAUCCGGGACUCUUGAAAGGAGAAAUCCGGUCAGGGAUGGGCCCGCGUCCAAUUAGCUAGUUGGUGGGGUAACGGCCCACCAAGGCGACGAUUGGUAGCCGAACUGAGAGGUUGAUCGGCCACAUUGGGACUGAGACACGGCCCAGACUCCUACGGGAGGCAGCAGUGGGGAAUAUUGGGCAAUGGGCGAAAGCCUGACCCAAGCGACGCCGCGUGAAGGAUGAAGGUCUUCGGAUUGUAAACUUCUUUGAUCAGGGAAGAAAGAAAUGACGGUACCUGAAAAACAAGCCACGGCUAACUACGUGCCAGCAGCAGC